rnacentral:rRNA from 1 species
AUUGAACGCUGGCGGCAGGCCUAACACCUGCAAGUCGAGCGAGCGGCGGACGGGUGAGUAAUGUCUGGGAAACUGCCUGUUGGAGGGGGAUAACUACUGGAAACGGUAGCUAAUACAGCAUACCAUCAGAUGUGCCCAGGUGGGAUUUGCUAGUAGGUGGGGUAACGGCUCACCUAGGCGACGAGCCCUAGCUGGUCUGAGAGGAUGACCAGGAAAACGGGAACGUGGACACGGUCCAGAGGCGUACGGGAGGCAGGAGUGGGGAAUAUGGCACAAUGGGCGAAAGCCUGAGGGAGCCAUGCCGCGUGUGUGAAGAAGGCCGUAGGGUUGAAAAGCAGUUUCAGCGGGGAGGCGUUACCCGCAGAAGAAGCACCGGCGAACUCCGUGCCAGCCGCCGCGGUAAUAC